rnacentral:rRNA from 1 species
UACGUAGGGGCCGAGCGUUGUCCGGAGUUAUUGGGCGUAAAGCGCGCGCAGGCGGCCUCGCGCGCCCGACGUGAAAGCCCCCGGCUUAACCGGGGAGGGUCGUUGGGGACGGCGGGGCUUGAGGGCGGGAGAGGUCGGUGGAAUUCCCGGUGUAGUGGUGAAAUGCGUAGAGAUCGGGAGGAACACCGGUGGCGAAGGCGGCAUCCUGGACCGACACUGACACUGAGGAGCGAAAGCCAGGGGAGCAAACGGG